rnacentral:rRNA from 1 species
AUAUCAAUAAGCGGAGGAAAAGAAACUAACAAGGAUUCCCCUAGUAACGGCGAGUGAAGCGGCAACAGCUCAAAUUUGAAAUCUGGCUUCGGCCCGAGUUGUAAUUUGCAGAGGAAGCUUUAGGCGCGGCACCAACUGAGUCCCCUGGAACGGGGCGCCACAGAGGGUGAGAGCCCCGUAUAAUUGGACGCCUAGCCUGUGUAAAGCUCCUUCGACGAGUCGAGUAGUUUGGGAAUGCUGCUCUAAAUGGGAGGUAAAUUUCUUCUAAAGCUAAAUAUUGGCCAGAGACCGAUAGCGCACAAGUAGAGUGAUCGAAAGAUGAAAAGCACUUUGAAAAGAGAGUUAAACAGUACGUGAAAUUGUUGAAAGGGAAGCGCUUGCAAUCAGACUCGCCUUCAGUUGAUCAGCCUUCCUUCUGGUUGGUGCACUCUGCUGUUGGCGGGCCAGCAUCAGUUGGAGCGGUGGGACAAAGGCGGCAGGAAUGUGGCUCGCUUCGGUGAGUGUUAUAGCCUGCUGCGUCAUGCCACCAGCCCCGAUUGAGGUCCGCGGUUCGCCUAGGAUGCUGGCUUAAUGGUUGUAAGCGA